UGAAGAAUAAUUCCUUCAGCACAUGGCAUUGUAUAUCUCUAUAUACUGCCUUUCAUACACAAAUUUGAGAUAUACUCAGCCUCAUUCUCUGCACAAAAACCCUAUUUUUCAUUCCUGAAAGGUUCAAAUUCAAGAAGUUAUUGAAAACUCCAAAACCUCUCAUUUUCUGAUUCUUUACAAAUGUAAAAAUAUGUUUUGAAAAAUAGAGAUUUUUCUUGGUCUAUUAGCUGGGAUUUCUAGGGUUCAGCUGGCUGGUUUUGGGGGCUGAAGUUUUGAAUCUGGAGUUGUUUCUUUGCUAUUGGGGAAUGUGUUGCUAUUUGUUUUCUGGGUUUGUUUGAGCUCCAUUUCCUCUGAUUUUCUAAUCUGAUUGUUGGUGGGAGCUGAGAUCUAGUUUGCUUCUUUUUCCAAAGUAAAAAAGAAAACAUAUUUUCUGAUAGUUGUUGCACCUGUGGCUUUUAAGAUUUGCAAGCUAACUCUGUAGCUAGCCUUGUAAAUGCAAAUUUCUUGUGAAUUAUCAAGUUUCAUGGGUUGGAAUAGCUGCAGUAAUGGAGGGUCAACAAUUUUUGUGGAGUUUAAGUAAUAACUUAGCUAGAUUAUAAGGCUAUUGAGCUGUUCUGAUAGGUUCUGUAUAAUUUCCUUUUAUCAUUAAUUUUGUAUAUAGUUGGUUUAUUUAUUUGGUGGUUAGGCAUUUUCCUUAAAGAUGUAUGCAAUUGUCAAUUAAAUGUGGCCUAAGAGAUUUAGCAUUUUUUGGUAUCGAUUGGUUGGGCUUUAGCCCAAUUGACCACUCUGUGAAACCAGUAAAAAUUGCACGGGGCGCCCUAUUUGGUCGCCCCCAUUUAACCUAUACCCAUUUUUUAAAAAACUUUUAACUUGUAUUCACUUUUUAAACAACUUCAGCUCCCUUUCUCCUCCUCCUUCUCCUCCUUCAUUUUCUUUUUUCUUCUUCUACAACGAUGACUUCAACAUUGCUCUCUUUCUUCAGCUUUAGAUAAGAAACUUAAUGCACCUGUUCCUAAUUUCCAAAGGCACCAAUGUGCUUGCUGCUUUGUUGGUCAUUCGGAAGAAAUCAACAUUGAUGAGUUAAAUGAGAGGAAUGCAUCUGAAAUAGAUGAUUCAAAUGAGAAAAGAUGUCUCACUGACAAUGUCUUAAACAUUAACUAUUCUUGAUCCAAGAUAGCAAUGGCAGGACAUGGGACCUAAAGCAAUUUCUUAGUGACUUUUGCCAUUAUAGAGAAGCUUUUGUUAUGUAAGGCGAUUAGUAUAUGUAUAUGUACAAAGGAUUUGUUACUUAUAUUUGCUUAGCUUAUCACUUUUUCUUCACGCAAGGAAGACCAGAUAUUUCAUGA